UUCUAAACAUUGAACCCUGUUCCACAUAUGAUCCAGCCAUCUAUAAAAUAGGUGAUAUAUAUUGCAGAAUGUGUAGGCCUGGAUAUCAUGUACAUAGUCAUUGUACUAAAUCUACAUUCACCUCCUGUGUGCCCUGUAUUGACUCCACCUUCCUUGAUGAGCCCAGUGGUAAAACAACAUGCAACAACUGUACCACAUGUGAUCCAGGUUUGGGUUUGAAGGUAAAGCAGCCAUGUACACCUUCAUCAGACACUGUCUGUGGGACACUGGAGGGGUUCUACUGUCUAGACCCAACUAAGGAUGGUUGUAGAGCAGCCCAGAGACACAGCAGCUGUAAACCUGGUCAAUACAUCAACCACACAGGAACAACAUCUACAGAUACUGUGUGUUCUGACUGUACUGGUGACACCUAUUCAGAUGGAUCAUUAGCAGCCUGCCAGCCACACACACAAUGUGAUACCUUGAAGCUUCAGCAAAUUAAACCUGGAACUCAUUGGUCCGACUCUGAAUGUGGACCACAAAUCUCACCUAUAGCUACAUUAAUAUUUGCUGUGGUGUUGGGGGUACUCGCUGUGAUAGCAGCCGUGACGACGGCAGCUAUUAUGAAAAGAAGAAGAAGAAAACACCAAAGAUCCUGUAACUCGUGAGAUUAUUUUGGGGGAAUUGUACAUUUAUUGUUUAAGAGAAAUAUCACUAAAUCAAAUGUUAUUUUAUCACAUGCGGUGAAUACAACAGGUGUAACUAACGAGCCCUGUCAGACGAUGCAGGUAAAAAAAUAAAUACAAAUAGUAACACGAGGAUUCAAAUAAAACACACAAGAAAGGAGCUGCAUCGUUCCCCAAUACCUCCAGCAGCCCAAGAGAGUUGAGACCAUGUAUGAACCUGUUAUGGUAUAGAGACCGUAUAAAUAUUAAACAAAUAAGUGUUAAGGACAAUAUAGUGAUGUGUAUUGAUUAAGGGGGGGGGACUGAUUAAAAAUAAUCAUGUUAGAGGAGGUUUAUGACAAGUACUUCACAGAUUUAUGACAGAGUUGACUUACUGCUCCAAGGCCACCUGCAGGCUCCCUCGGACAAAUUGUUGAGCCACCAAUUCAAUCACACCAUCCCUGUCCUCCAUUGUCUUGACAACAAUCCUUUUCAGCCCCAAUAGGCUCAGCCAGUCUACCAAUUCCUCCAAUUUGUUCUUCACCUCGGAAAGGUCCUCUGCUUUUUUUGAUCUAGAAUUUUUUUUUUAAAUGUAUGACAGGCAAUCGAGAAUUUUAAAAACAUCAAAAGAAACCAUACAUGUAAAAAAUGAUGAUCUAUUAUUUUCCUGUUGCUGUUAGGGAGGAUAUAAAACUCACAUUUUCCAAUAAGCUUUCAGAGUAGUGUGGUUCACCUCCAGACUGAGUGGAGGAGCAGGCGUCCCACACACUGCUGCUCAGAGAAGAAGUGUGGCCCAACCCCUCCAAGGACCACACACACACACACGGAUCAUUUUCCCAAUGGUUCCAUACAGGCCCUCAUGUGAUGCUAAAAAAUAUUAUUUCAAAUGUGUGCCAGCUUUACUAUCCCUAUGAUAUAUUGCCCUGGACAAAGCACUUGAAAAAGCCUCUUCACAAAAUGUUUUGGCUAAAAUUCUGUAUUUGACAAUGAAAAUCAGACCUUAAUAUGGGUAAAAAGAAACGAGAAGGCUUACCAUGGACAUCAAGCGGCAUACGUUUAGCUCCUUCCGGACCCUCAAAGAUGGCCGAUCCUCUGAUGUCCCUCACGAGGAGAUGUAAUACUCCCUGGAGGGACCCCAUUGGUCAACUGCCCCCUCCACCUUGGACUCAGCGUCCACAAAGACAACGUCCAUCUUAGCCCCAUGCAUUAAAGUUUUUGUUUUGAAAUGCAUGCAGGCUACUGUUUAGGACGUUGCCCCUGUGGACAUUUAUCAUGUUGGCAAUGGGGCAGUUGUCCUGGUCCACUCAGCUCCAGAGCGUACGUAAAAUGGGGAAAGGGGGGUACCUAGUCAGUUGUACAACUGAAUGCCUUCAACUUAAAUGUGUCUUCAGCAUUUAACCCCUUAAUCGACAUCCAGGUCUUCGGCCCCCGGGGAACAGUGGGUUAACUGCCUUGCUUAGGGGUAGAACGACAGAUUUUUACCUUGUCAACUCGGGGAUUCAAUCAUGGCAGUCUGUAAAGCCAUGUUCACAUUGGCAGUUUGAGGUGAGUUACUCAUUUUGGGGGGUAAUUUCCAAUUAGAAUCUUAUGUUUCUUGCAGCCUUAACAUCCAAAAAGCACAUGGUAUCAGAUAUUUCAAACCACCUUUGUAGCAUCCAAUUUCCAUGGCAUUUUGGAAUGUUUUAUCAACUGAUGCUGGAUUGCCAUGGUAAUGUAGAUCGUUAAUUCAAAUAAUGCUAACUGAUGUGACUCAUGCAAUGGAAUUUAUUUAUUUGUAAAAUGGCUGCAAUUCCACCCAUUAUUCCAUCAUUGACUUGAAUGGAAACGCCCUUUCUAUCCGUUCUUAUUUAUAUGGCGCACACGCCUGUCAUUACCAUGAUAAAUAGUGUAGCCAUGUCGGCAAAUGACAGCUUUCUGACUCUAAACACAUACGAAUCAGUCAUUUGUAACUUUGUUUGGACAGUCAGUGUUCCAAAAACGUAUUAAUCGUCAUGCCACACCCUUGACAAUGACAUUAGAGUUGACAAUAGCACAAACCGACAGGAAAUUAUAAUUAAAACGGUAAUUAUAACUAACUUUCCCCCACUAAUAAGUGGAAAUCUACUGGACAACAGCGAUCUGGACGUCAAGUGUUUCUACACUAAAAGUCCAAGCUGCAUCCACCCUUGCCAAGUUUGACUUAAAGAGCGACCUUGUAACCUCACUUGUGUACAGGGUUGGGGAGUAAUGUAAGGAAUUACAAAAAACGGUAACUAAGCUGUUACGUUACAAACAAAAAUGUUGUAAUCAGAUUACAGAUUUUUGAAAAACCUAUAUUACUUGAAGGAUUACUUUUAAAUUCAGAAAUUAACUUUUAGUUUGUCAAAAAUAUAUAUAUUUUGACACUUCUGUUUUCUCGACAUUCCAAAUCAGCAUUGAAAAAGACGCAAGUUCAAGUUUGUUCCACCUGAGCGAGUCUGACCACAAAUCAGAGACCACUGAUGACACACAAACUGUUUGAUGGAUCUUGGGAAAAGAGCAGCAAUAGGCUUUUGUAGACUACAGUCCAAGCGAUGUCUUCUAAUGGUGCCACUGCUGUCAGCAUCCAAAGCUUGUCCAACUUGAAUAAAUGCUUGAAGAUCACAUGUAACCACGCGAGCCUAGGAUCUCCACAUCCAGCUUCUCCACAUGCGGGAUCAUCUGAGAUGAGCCACCCUGACAGCUGAUGAAACUCUGGGUUUGCACAAUCAAAGAAUUUCUGCAUAACCUGUCAGAAACCGUCUCAGGGAGGCUCAUCACUACUUUCAUUUAUGAGGAGCUGUCUCUCUAUACUACUGGCAUACAGCUCUGACACCCAUGCAUACCCCACAAGACGUGCCACAAGAGGUCUCUUCACAGUCCCCAAGUCCAGAACAGACUAUGGGAGGCACACAGUACUACAUAGAGCCAUAACUACAUGGAACUAUAUUCCACAUCAAGUAACUGAUGCAAGCAGUAAAAUUAGAUUUAAAAAAUAUGAAGAAAAAAAACAACACCUUAUGGAACAGCGGGGACUGUGAAGCAUCACAAACAUUGGCACAGACACACGAUAAUAUAUGCACUAUACAAACACAUGGGUUUAGUACUGUAGAUAUGUGGCGGAGUAGGGGCCUGAGGGCACACAGUGUGUUGUGAAAUCUGUGAAGAUAUUGUAAUGUUUUUAAAAUUGUAUAAACUGCUUUCAUUUUGCUGGACCCCAGAAAGAAUAGCAGCUAAUGGGGAUCCAUAAUAUAGACAAAUACAUCUGCAUGCUCGUUGUCCUCACCUGUGUCUUGACCUGACUGCAGUUUGGCGUUGUAACCGACUUCAGUGGUGAAGUCUGCUUUUCACAGAUGAAUCCUGGUUUCAACUGUACCGGGCAGAUGGCAGACAGCGUGUAUGGCGUCGUGCGGGCAAGCAAUUUGCUGAUGUCAACAUUGUGAAGAGAGCGCCACAUGGUGGCGAUGGGGUUAUGGUAUGGGCAGGCAUAAUCUACCCACAUGAUUGCAAUUUUAAUGCACACAUACCGUGACGAGAUCCUGAGGCCCAUUGUCAUGCCAUUCACCCUCCGCUAUCACCUCAUGUUUCAGCACACUGUCUGCCAUCUGCUUGGUUAUUACUGCAUUGUCGGAACUAGAAGCACAAGCAUUUCGCUACACUCGCAUUAACAUCUGCUAACCAUGUGUAUGUGACAAAUAUAUAUAUAUAUAUAUUUGAUUUGAUAAUGCAUGGCUACCCAUGCUAGAUUACGGAGACAUAAUUUAUAGAUCGGCAGGUAAGGGUGCUCUCAAGCGGCUAGAUGUUCUUUACCAUUCUGCCAUCAGAUUUGCCUGCACGCUCCUCUUUUCAGUUUGCUGCAGCUCGCGACUGGAACGAGCUGCAACAAACACUCAAAUUGGACAUUUUUAUCUCAAUCUCUUCAUUCAAAGACUCAAUCAUGUACACUCUUACUGACAGUUGUGGCUGCUUUGUGUGAUGUAUUGUUGUCUUCCUUCUUGACCUUUUGUGCUGUUGACUGUGCCCAAUAAUAUUUGUACCAUAUUUUGUGCUGCUACCAUGUUAUAUUGGGUUGCUACCAUGCUGUUUUGUCAUGUGUUGCUGCCUUGUUAUGUUGUUGUCUUAGGUCUCUCUUUAUGUAGCGUUGUCUAUCUUGUAGUGAUGUGUUUUGUCCUAUAUUUAUAUUGUAUUUAUAUUUAAUCCCAGCCCCGUCCCCGCAGGAGGCCUUUUGGUAGGCCGUCAUUGUAAAUAAGAAUUUGUUCUUAACUGACUUGCCUAGUUAGAUAAAUAAAAAAUAGCCCCAUGU